ensembl:lncRNA
UCCCCUCCUCUCUCUCCUCCCUCUCUCCCUUCCCUCCCUCCCUCCCUUCUCUCUCCUCCCCUCCUCCCUCCCUCCCUCCCUCCAUUCUCUCUCCUCCCCUCCUCUCUCUCCUCCCUCUCCUCCCUCCCCUUCUCUCUCCUCCCCUCCUCCCCUCCCUCCCUUCCUCCCCUUCCCUCCCUCCCUCCUCUCUCCCCUCCCCCCCCUCUCCUCCCUUCCCUUCCCUUCCCUUCCCUUCCCUUCCCUUCCCUUCCCUUCCCUUCCCUUCCCUUCCCUUCCCUUCCCUUCCCUUCCCUCCCUCCCUCCUCCCUCCCUCCCUCCCUCCUCUCUCCUCCCCUCCCUCCUCUCUCCUCCCCCUUCCCUCCCUCCCCUUCCCUUCCCUCCCUCCCCUCCCUCCCUCCCUCCCUCCCUCCCUCCCUCCCUCCUCUCUCUCUCCUCCCUCCCCUCAACAGAAGAAGCUGACUGUUAGAAGUUGUCCCGUAGGAGGGGCCACCAAGCCCCUCUCCCUCAUCAAGCCCCCUCCUCCCUCCUCACAAAGCAUCUCCAUCUCCGUUCUACCGGCCAACCCGGUCGCCAAGACAGCUCCCGUUGCCAUGGUGACAGCGCACAUGACCGGUGGACAAAAGGUGGUGUCGGGAAGCGCAGCUCCAGGGAGCUCCUCCUCUCCUCCUCCUCUACAGACAUCCUCCAUCAACCUCCAGACCAAUAGAGGGUCGGGAGGGGCGGUGCUACAGCCUUACAGUAGGAGAGAGAUGCUGGGAAACCUAACAGUAGUGCCCAUCAAGGUUCCUCAGGUCAGCUCUCUACACCGGCUGUCUGGACAGACCUCCACUGUUCUACCUCAGGUUCAGCCAAAGAGUGUGAUCCCAGCCAGCCUCCUCCCCAGCCACAGCCCUGUGUCUCUCCCUAAGGAGCAGCCAGCCAGCCUCCUCCCCAGCCACAGCCCUGUGUCUCUCCCUCAGGAGCAGCCAGCCAGCCUCCUCCCCAGCCACAGCCCUGUGUCUCUCCCUCAGGAGCAGCCAGCCAGCCAGAAACAGUCAUCCUGUCAGGCCCUCAGUCUCCUCAACCUCCAGAGAGCUACCGCUGUAAUCAGCCCUAAGAGCCGCGCCCACAGUUUUAACCACACCCACAGCUCUAGCCACACCCUCACCCAGAGCCACACCCUCGGCCCGGCCCUGCCUACAGCCAACAGCACGUUCAGCCCAGAACGUCUCUCCAUAGGCCAGGGAGACACAGCCACCUCCACAACCUCCUCACCCCCUCCCCUGGCCCAGACACUGGCCUCUUCCCUGGCCCAGACCCUGGUCUCUCCCCUGGCCCAGACCCUGGUCCCUCCCCUGGUCUCUCCCCUGGCCCAGACCCUGGUCUGCCCCCUGGCCCAGACCCUGGUCUCUCCCCUGGCCCAGACCCAGUCUCUCUCCCCAGCCCAGACCCAGUCUCUCUCCUCGGCCCAGACCCAGUCUCUCUCCUCGGCCCAGACCCAGUCUCUCUCCCCGGCCCAGACCCAGUCUCUCUCCCCGGCCCAGACCCAGUCUCUCUCCCCGGCCCAGACCCAGUCUCUCUCCCCGGCCCAGACCCAGUCUCUCUCCCGGCCCCGACCCAGUCUCUCACCCUGGCCCAGACCCAGUCUCUCUCCCCGGCCCUAG